GUCACUUUUACUUGGAGAAAUAAAUGGUGGCGAUCGCACGUUACAGUCAUCAUCUUCACUACUACUAUUUCUUUACUCCGUUCCCCUCUCUCUCUCUCUCUCUCUCUCUCUCUCCCUCCUCGGAAUGAGAAGGAAGUAAAGAUGGACGUGGAAGAAACAAAGUGCUUGUUGCUUUGACCCUCUAUAUCUCCCUAUAUAAAGGCAUCGGGAGCUCUCUCUCUUCCUCAGCCAGGAUCGCCCACAUCCUUGCGGUGGUGUAGCUUCUGCGAAGUCGGCCUCCGCUGCUCACCGCUGCCUCUCCAUCUUUGUCAGGGUGAGCGAUCGCAAGGAUGAGCCGGGACAACCGCAGGAGCCAGACUCUGGACCUGAAGCUGAACCUUUCGCUGAUGCCGGCCAGGGGGGACGCAUCGAGAAGGAUGGGCGUCGCCGAUGACGCCUCCCCGGCGAGCUCAUGUUUGACGACGGCGUCGUCGUCGUCGGAGGCCGAGCUGGGGAUGAUGACCCCGGUGAGCACAGAGGUGGCGACGCCCAUGGUGCUCGCCGGCUGCCAGCGGUGCCUCAUGUACGUCAUGCUCUCUGCGGACGACCUCAAGUGUCCCAAGUGCUGGAGCACCGCCCUCAACUUCUUCCACAACACCACCACCAAGAACAAGAAGAACAGCAGCAAGAAGAGCAGGAUGUGCUAAACCUCCCUGCAAAACACCUUCUUCGUGAUUCAUUCCUUCUUCGGUUGUCUCUUUCAGUACCAGUCAUCUCUUGUCUUUAAUUACGUUAGCUGUGAUUCAAGGAAUGAGCACUUGGCUUCAUCUUAUAA